ensembl:snRNA U6 U6 spliceosomal RNA
AUGCUUGCUUCGGCAGCACAAACACUAAAAUUGGAACAAUACAGAAAAGAUUAGCAUGGCCCCUGAGCAAGGAUGAGACACAAAUUCAUGAAGUAUUCUGUAUUUUU